rnacentral:rRNA from 1 species
CCUACGGGAGGCAGCAGUGGGGGAUAUUGCACAAUGGGGGAAACCCUGAUGCAGCGACGCCGCGUGGGCGAAGAAGUAUUUCGGUAUGUAAAGCCCUAUCAGCAGGGAAGAAGAAAUGACGGUACCUGACUAAGAAGCACCGGCUAAAUACGUACCAGCAGCCGCGGUCAUACGGAUGGUGCAAGCGUUAUCCGGAUUUACUGGGUGUAAAGGGAGCGCAGGGGGCACGGCAAGCCUGAUGUGAAAGCCCGCGGCCCAACCGCGGGACUGCAUUGGAAACUACCGGGCUGGAGUGCCGGAGAGGUAGGCGGAAUUCCUGGUGUAGCGGUGAAAUGCGUAGAUAUUAGGAGGAACCCCAGUGGCGAAGGCGGCCUACUGGACGGUGACUGACGCUGAGGCUCGAAAGCGUGGGGAGCAAACAGGAUUAGAUACCCGAGUAGUC